CGAAAUUGGCAUCUGGAACAGUGAUAUCCUCGAAGCCAUAAUCGUAGAGCCAAUUCGUGUUCUCAGGUGAAACCAUCUCCGAUCAAAGCCAGAAGGUGCUUCUCCGGCGUUAGGGCAAAACGGAAGAUCAAAUUGAGCAGGGAACAAUUCAGCAAAUUAUGAGAGAAAAUUCCAAAAAAUUCAAGAACAGAAAAUUGCUCCAACUAAUCAAGAAACAAUAACUCAUUUCACAAAAAUCAACGAAAAUCAAUUGAUAAUUACCCAUUUCAUGAAAAUUUCUAAGAACUCAUUUAUAGCAACAAAUCAAGAACCCAGAUCUGCAACCCAC
rnacentral:lncRNA from 1 species